CGGAGGGAGAAGGAGCCUGCCUUUCUCUCCCGAUCUCUCCCGGGAAAGUUCAGGAGCCUGGCCUCAAACCCAAGCAAGAGGAUUUGCUCCACUCCCUCUCCUGCUCAGCAUUCAUCAUUUCAUCUCAUCCUCCUGCUCUCCUGCUAAGAUCCCUUGGAAAAUCUGCCCCAUAGUUCUCUGUGUUGAACCAAUAGCCCAGAAGUGUACUGCAAUGGC